rnacentral:misc_RNA from 1 species
AAUAAAUUUCAGAGUUUAAUUUAUACAUCUCUAUUUUUUUAUUCAGUGAUACAGUACAUGCUGAUAUUUGAUUGUUAACCUUGCAUCAUCUUAGAUAAAUUAAAAAAAUAAAAUAAUAAAAUAAAAAACUAAGAAACAUAAGAAAUCAAUUUAAUAAUAAGUAUUAUAGCCAAGUGUUUGUGAUUCUAAGAAAGUUAUAAAAUGCGAUUGUUGAUAAAAUCAAUAAAUUCACAAUUAUUACCGGUAUUUCGUCAGCGUAUGACAGUAAAUAGAUAUUCAAAUUUAUCAAUUAUAAGAAGACCUAUAUCUACUGUUAAAAAAAUAAAUUGGCUGGAAGUUAGCAAUAAAACAGAUGGGAAUGUCAUCAGUAGUUACAAGAGAAUUGCAUGUUCCACGACUUUACGUCAAUUUUCGACUAAACAGCCAGAUAAUGAGGAUCCACCACUGGAAGUCGAAGCUGAGCCAGCAUCAGAAGGGUAUCCAGCUACGUUACCAGCGACAGUUGUCGUUCCAGAAGUGUGGCCUCACGUACCAGUAAUAGCAAUAAGUCGUCACCCAGUGUUUCCUCGUUUUAUCAAACUUAUAGAGCUAACAAACCCGAUUUUAAUCGACUUGAUACGCCGGAAAGUUAAACUGAAUCAACCUUACGUCGGAAUAUUUUUAAAAAAGAACGAAGAAAACGAAGCAGAGAUUGUAAAAAGCGUUGACGAUGUCUAUCCCAUUGGAACAUUCGCUCAGAUCCACGAAAUCCAAGACCUGGGAGAUAAGUUACGUCUGGUCAUCAUGUCUCACCGCAGGAUAAAAAUAGUAAGCCAGAUGAUCGAAGACAUUAGUGAGAAACCACCCCAAGAGAUGAAAUUGACGUUUCCACUAUUUAAUACUUCAAUUAACGUCUCCGUAGACGAGCCGGUAGCUGAACCUAAAAAAUCGCGUCGUUAUGUGAGGAGCAAAAGAAACGAACUCAAAGUUGAUCCCGAGGAAAAGUUAACUCUUGAAGAAGUUAAACCUGAAAUUGUAGAUGUAGCUGGUGAAACUGAUACCAAAGCUCCAGUUACUCCUGCCGCUGCUCCAACUGACGCUCAAACACCUCCAGUUCAAGCGAUUCCGAUGGACGGGUCUCCGCAACCACUUCUCAUGGCUGAAGUUAUCAAUGUUACUCACGAGAAGUUCCGGCACACUGAAGAAAUUAAAGCUCUGACGCAAGAAAUAAUAAAAACUAUUCGUGAUAUAAUCAGCAUGAAUCCAAUUUAUCGGGAGUCAUUGAAUCAAAUGCUGCAUCAAGGAACACGAGUUGUUGAUAAUCCUGUAUAUUUAAGUGAUUUAGGAGCGGCGUUAACUGGCGCUGACGCUAAAGAACUUCAGGAAGUUCUCGAGGAAUUAGAUAUUUCCAAGCGACUGCGUCUCUCUUUGGCUUUAUUGAAAAAAGAGUACGAACUGAGCAAGCUCCAGCAGAAAAUAGGCCGUGAAGUUGAAGAAAAAGUUAAACAGCAGCACCGUAAAUACAUCCUGCACGAGCAAUUGAAGGUAAUAAAAAAGGAGCUGGGUCUUGAGAAAGAAGACAAAGACGCCAUUGAAGAAAAAUACAGAGAAAGAAUCCGUGAAAAAGUCGUCGCUAAACCGGUGAUGGACGUAAUCGAAGAAGAAUUAACAAAGUUAAGUUUCCUCGAGAAUCACAGUAGUGAAUUCAAUGUCACGCGUAAUUAUUUAGACUGGUUGACCUCUUUGCCCUGGGGAGUUACCAGUCCGGAGAAUUUGAAAAUUCAGGAGGCUUCAGAUAUCCUCGAGCAAGAUCAUUACGGAAUGGAAGACAUUAAGAAACGUAUUCUGGAGUUUAUAGCCGUCAGUCAGCUCAAGGGGACUACCCAGGGUAAAAUUAUGUGCUUCCAUGGUCCUCCAGGUGUCGGAAAGACCUCGAUUGCGCGAUCAAUAGCUCGCGCGUUGAAUCGCGAGUACUUCAGAUUCAGCGUCGGGGGAAUGACUGACGUGGCUGAGAUCAAAGGACACAGGCGUACUUAUGUCGGCGCAAUGCCUGGUAAAAUAAUCCAGUGUCUAAAAAAAACCAAAACUGAGAAUCCUCUGGUGUUGAUCGAUGAGGUUGACAAAAUCGGCAAAGGCUAUCAAGGAGAUCCUGCUUCAGCUUUGCUGGAGAUGUUGGAUCCAGAGCAAAACGCGAAUUUCCUCGACCACUACCUAGACGUACCAGUUGAUCUAUCAAAGGUUUUAUUUAUCUGCACCGCGAAUGUCGUAGACACUAUUCCUGAGCCGCUGAGAGACCGUAUGGAGAUGAUUGACAUGUCUGGUUAUGUUGCGGAGGAAAAAUUAGCAAUCGCCAAACAAUACUUGAUUCCUCAAGCCAUGAAAGACUCGGGACUCACUACUGAGCAAAUAACCUUCGAUGAAUCAGCUCUUUCUAAGCUCAUAAGAGCCUACUGCCGUGAAUCAGGUGUUAGAAAUCUUCAGAAGCAUAUCGAGAAAGUGUCGAGGAAGGCCGCGUUUAAGGUCGUCAAACAGGAAGCUGAGAAAAUAGAAGUUACUAAGGACAAUUUGACUGAUUUCGUAGGCAAACCCAUCUUUACACACGACAGAAUGUAUGACAUAACGCCUCCAGGUGUGGUGAUGGGUCUAGCUUGGACCGCGAUGGGUGGCUCUUCCCUGUUCAUUGAAACCUCUAUCAGCAAACCCUUCACUGCUAAAAAAUACGAGGGUACUUUGGAACUCACGGGACAUCUUGGUGACGUUAUGAAGGAAUCCAUGAAGAUAGCGAUGACAGUAGCUCGGAAUUUUUUGAAGAAAAUAGACCCUGACAAUACCAUUUUGUAUGAUGCUCAUCUGCAUCUUCACGUACCUGAGGGAGCGACUCCCAAGGAUGGACCCAGCGCUGGUGUAACCAUCGCCUCGGCUUUGAUUUCUCUUGCCAGAGGACAACCUAUCAGACAAGACGUCGCCAUGACUGGAGAGCUCAGUUUGAUGGGCAAGGUUCUGCCUGUUGGUGGAAUCAAGGAGAAGACUAUCGCGGCGAAGAGAGCCGGAGUUAAGUGUAUAAUUCUACCGGAAGAAAAUAGAAAAGACUUUGAUGAUCUUGCUAAGUAUAUCACUGACGGUCUGGAGGUACAUUUUGCCAGCACUUAUCAAGACGUAUACAAAGUUUGCUUUGAUGAUAGUCAGCAGUCCAGCCCUGUUAAAGACUCUACGGGGUUUGACUUUCAUACCAAGCCCCAAGCUGCCUCUAUUCAUGCGAAAAACGCGUAGUGACUGUUUUUUUAAAUAAAGACUUUGACAAUUAAGUUUAAAGAAUAACUAUUAACAGUUGAUGCAAUUCAUCUGACGUUAAGUACAUCACAAAUUAUUUAGUUUGUAUACAUUCCUAAAAGAAAAAUUAUCUUCUGGUUAUACAACGAUUUAAAGAAGACCGACUAGACAGUGAAUUGCGCAUAAAAAUUAUUUUGUAAAUAUGUUUAAAAGAAUAAAUAAUAAUAAUUAUUAA